GACGAACGCUGGCGGCGCGCCUAACACAUGCAAGUCGAACGAGAGAGAGGGAGCUUGCUUCCUCGAUCGAGUGGCGAACGGGUGAGUAACGCGUGAGGAACCUGCCUCAAAGAGGGGGACAACAGUUGGAAACGACUGCUAAUACCGCAUAAGCCCACGGCUCGGCAUCGAGCAGAGGGAAAAGGGGCAAUCCGCUUUGAGAUGGCCUCGCGUCCGAUUAGCUAGUUGGUGAGGUAAUGGCCCACCAAGGCGACGAUCGGUAGCCGGACUGAGAGGUUGAACGGCCACAUUGGGACUGGGACACGGCCCAGACUCCUACGGGAGGCAGCAGUGGGGAGUAUUGCACAAUGGGGAAACCCUGAUGCAGCGACGCCGCGUGGAGGAAGAAGGUCUUCGGAUUGUAAACUCCUGUUGUUGAGGAAGAUAAUGACGGUACUCAACAAGGAAGUGACGGCUAACUACGUGCCAGCCGCCGCCGUAA
rnacentral:rRNA from 1 species